UUGAUAGUCUAGACUUGUAUUGUUUGUUUGUCUGAGUCAUUAUAUAAAAUGUAAUAUAAAUUUCACUGAAAUUUGUUAUGUCUUCCGCAUGGUCGGCUUGACUAUUAUAUCAAGGUUGAAUUGUGUAGGUCUCUACCAAACAUAACAUAUGCAGCGUAAUUGUUUAUAUUAGGCUUUUAUAGAAAAAUAGAAUAGUUUCAAAUUCAAACAAAAGCGAAAAAAAAAUCGGUCAGAAUUUUUUUCCAGCAAAGUAUAUAACCAAGGUAAAGUAGUUUACCUUCUCCACACAUACUUCGACAGAGAAGAUUGAAGGAACGAUCUGAAAACAGUCUUUAAUUUGUAAGUGUUUGUUAAUUUUAUAUUAUUUUUACCUGGCUUUAUAACUUAUAUAUUAUUUUAUAUAUAUUUUAGAUCUGCCAUGCUACACCAACUUAAUCAGACUGAUCUUUUUGUUUACUAGAUAACACUUUGAAUAUCUUAAAUUCUAAGGUUUUUGUACCUUAGCUGUAUUUAGCAUCACUUUUGGGAAUUUUUGGUUCUCGAUGAUCUUCAAAUUCGUACUCUACUUGGCAUUUUUAACAGUUUUCGAUUCAAGCGUCACUGGUGAGUCUUUUGUAGGAGAAACGCGCGUCUGACGCAAAUUCAAAAUUGAAAUCAUGAUAUCUAUUUCUUCAUAUGCAUGGAUAUUUAGAAUAUUUUGGACUCUUAAUAAUUUAUCACAUGUCUUAAUGUCUAUCUUCUUAGAUAAAUCAACUGGACCUUAUAUACACAAAUCGUCGUAUGAUUCUGAUAAUGGUCUAUGUCGAUGCUUGCUAAAAAUGAAGAUAUUUUUAUAUUUGAGAUCCAAAUUGUACAACGAUAACAUGAAAUUUCUACAUUCUACGACUUUAUGUUAGAACUAUACGAGUUGGACAUUGGACGUUCAGUAAACAAUAAUUUUAGUAUGUUUUAUUUUCAGAUGUCACUACUAUAAAAACAAUUGCUAUCAAAAUUAUCUCAGUACUAGAAUGAUCUUACCUCAAUCGUUGAGUCAUAUUCAGCCAAUCCAGCACUGGUUUUUUGCGCUUUGGUCGGGUUGUUAUCUCUGGGACACAUUUUCAUUCUCAAUUUCAUUACAUAAUUUGGAAUAACUCAGAAUUAAACAAAACCAUGGAUAAAAAUUGAAAAUAUCAUUGAAUGAGGUUAAGAAAAAAAGAUAUGUAGAAACUUUAUAUUCAUUUGGUUCCUGAAUAAAACAAAACAAUUUUGAUAAAUUUUCUGUGGAUAGAACACUACAAUAUACAAUAUGUACAAUUUUAUAACAUUUAGAAACAUAGGAUUUACAUAACUAGAACUUUCACCCGACUCAUUUUCACAAGGAUAUUUGCAUUUACAUGGAAACUAAAAUACUGAACAUAUUCAUGCAGGCAAUAGCGAGAAAAAAUAUGUAUAAUGAGAGACAGUGUUAUGUUGAAACGUUUAAUAUGAAUGUGACCUACCGAAUUAGACUAUUUACCGGAUUUGUAAUCACAUAAGCAACACGACGGGUGCCACAUGUGGAGCAGGAUCUGCUUACCCUUCCGGAGCACCUGAGAUCACCCCUAGUUUUUGGUGGGGUUCGUGGGGUUUAUUCUUUAGUUUUCUAUGUUGUGUCAUGUGUAGUUAUUGUUUUUCUGUUUGUCUUUUUCAUUUUUAGCCAUGGCGUUGUCAGUUUGUUUUAGAUUUAAGAGUUUGACUGUCCCUUUGGUAUCUUUUUUCCCUCUUUUAAUAGAUAUAAUGAAAAUUACGUGAAGUUAUCAAGAAUAUCAAUUGUGAAAAAUUAAACAGAUAUGUUUUUAUUUUCAUAAUUUUACUACAGAAUAAAGUGCAAUUCUUAUGACUUUUUUACUACUAUAACUGCACUUACACUGUGAAUAAGAAACGAUUUGGCAUUUUUAUUUGCUCUAAACAUCUGUAUGACUAUUUGACUGAGUUUCAAAUUUAUCACCCAUUCAGUCUGGUUUUAAACAUAAUCCUUCAUUUCAAAUUGCCCGCAUUAAUAUCGUUUAUAGAUGACUACACGAAAUGAAUAAUGAAAAUAUCGAUAUGGCAGUUCUCCUGGAUUAUAUAAAAAGUAUUUGAUUUGUUGCUUGUGAAGUUUUAAAUAAAAGAAAUCCAUCAAAUUCAUGGUUUCCAUGACAGUACGGUUUAUUUUUUUUAAAAUCACAUUUGACAAAAACCCACACAAAGUCCAUACAAGUCAUAUAAGUAAUAAAUAUUCUGAUAACAUAUUUCUCAGGGCUCAAUCAUUGGUCCUAUUUUAUUUAUUUUGCACAUAAAUUACCUUCCAUUAUAUAUAUUCAUAAAAAAGUGAAAUACAGACGUGUAUGCUGAUGACACAACUAUGCAUACAUGAGGAAAGAGUAUUGCAGAUAUGCAGAUACAAGUACAUGAUGAACUCUAAUAUGUUGAAAAAUUAUGCAUGAAAUAACAUAUUCAUAAAUUCGCGUAAAAUUAAAUGUAUGGUUAUCGUUACAAGACAAAGGCUGAGUUUUCAUCAAGCAAAACCAUUUCUUACUUUUCAGAAUAAUAUUCUCCAAAAAUCAAAUGUGUUGACUCUUAUCUGCCAUAUUAUUUUUUAUGUUCAUCAAUAUCAUCAAGAAUUCAUUUUCUUUCUGAAAUCAAGACAUUUCCAAAAUAUUGAUCCAAGAAAAUUAUUUUUAUAAUGGUUAUAAUCUCCCACUGAUAGAUUAUUGUUGUAUUAUUUGGAGUAGUUUUGCUAACAUGAGCUAGCAAUACUGAUAAAAUUGAUAAAAAGUGCACCAAGAAUAAUUUUAUAUAUGCUGAGGGGGAUGGGCUUUAGGCAAGCUUUGGUUCCCUCUUUCACUUACAGAAGUAAUAUUUUAUAUAAAGUACUUAAAGAAAUAUAAUUAUAUUUAAAUACAAUUACCCUAAAAAUUAUAUAGCUACAUUCAUGAAUGUGUAUUAUGUAUUCUUAUUAUUGGCUGUUCCAGUGUUACACACAUAUUUUAUGGUAAAUGCACUGUGAAUAUAGUAUCAUUGGUGAUGUUUUGAAAACAAUGAAAUACCUGUAUAGCAAUUUAGUUGAUAUUUGAUAACUAUAUGUUCAUUAGAAAAAUGUCAUGUACAGAGCACAAAUACUAAUGUGACGUAACGUUCAUGUUUAACAGAGUUUUUGGACGUAAUAUCUACAUAAGCCUGAAAAUGUCAUGGCGGGUCACACAUCUCUUUAGUACCUGUUUAGAUUGAAAAUCACCCUAACAUCAUAUAUAAAGUCACAAAAAAAUUUCUACGCUUUAAACAGAAAAUUUACAAUUUUUUUUUACAGUGUCUGAACCAGAGCAGGAUCAUUUAAAAAGAGAGCAAUUUAAUAUAUUUGAAUGUGAUUUUAACUACAGCACCAAACUAUUUUUUUUUUUCAUGUUCAAAUUUGAUCGUUAAGAUGAAGGUUAUAUAAUCAGAAAUUCUAACGCAGAAAAUUUUAUCAUACAUUAUAAUACAUUGUAUAUCCUUUAGGUGAGCAAAUCCUCUGCAAGAUGAAAGUAGUCAAGAUCCUGUGUGCAAUGUUGAUGAUGGUUAUAUCAGUUUUAGCAGGAACAGCUAGUGGACAUCAACAACCAGGUCUACCACAACCAGGACGACUUGAAUUUAACAGAGUAAAACGAGAUGCUAAUGACAACACUUUUGAUAGAAUCGUAACGUAACUGAUAAUUACAAAAAACAAAAUAUAAUUCAUUGUACUGAGUUUUAAAUUACUACUGCUACUACUAUUACUUCAAUAAUAAUAAUAAAAAAAUAAUAAUAAUAAUAAUAAUAAUAAUAAUAAUAAUAAUAAUAAUAAUAAUAAUAAUAAUAAUAAUAAUAAUAAUAAUAAAAAUAAUUCAUGAUAAUAUUAAUAAUAAUUUGUAUUUUCAGGUGAAUAAAGAUUAGAUGGUCUGUGGUACCACGUGCACUAACUGGAUCUUUCAUCAUUUAAUAAUAGAGGCUUAUUUAAAUGGAUUUAUCGUUGAUCUAUAUAUUUGUUUUUAUUUCAUCUUUAGUGAUACCUUUUUUGUUUUAACAUUCUAGUGGCAAAUUGUUUCUUGAAAAAUAAGGUUGUAAAUUGAUUUGCUGCAACUCAUAUAAAUAUCAAACAACAAUGGUGUCACAUGUGGAGCAUGAUUUGUUUACCCUUCAAGGUUAGAUUUUUUUCCUAAAAUAAUAUCUUUAUUGCACUUUUCUUUGCUGUUUUCACAAAUUACUCGACCUACAGCAGUUGCGAGAUCACUCCAAGUUUUUAAUGCGGUUCCUGUUGCUCAUUCUU
rnacentral:lncRNA from 1 species